CGCACGGGUGCGUAACGCGUAUGCAACCUACCCUUAACAGGGGGAUAGCCCGAAGAAAUUCGGAUUAAUACCCCAUAGUACUACAAGAUGGCAUCUGAAAGUAGUUAAAGAUUUAUCGGUUAAGGAUGGGCAUGCGUGACAUUAGAUAGUUGGUGAGGUAACGGCUCACCAAGUCAACGAUGUCUAGGGGUUCUGAGAGGAUGA
rnacentral:rRNA from 1 species